rnacentral:rRNA from 1 species
AACGUACGCUGGCGGCGUGGUUAAGACAUGCAAGUCGAACGGUUUUUCAGGUGUAGCAAUACACUUGAAAAGCAGUGGCGAACGGGUGCGUAACACGUGAACAAUCUACCUUAAAGUGGGGAAUAGCUCGCCGAAAGGCGAAUUAAUACCGCAUACGGUUGGGACUCGCAUGAGCCCCAUACCAAAGUCGGGGACCGCAAGGCCUGACGCUAUAAGAGGAGUUCGCGGCCUAUCAGCUAGUUGGCGAGGU